rnacentral:rRNA from 1 species
ACGGAAGGCAGCAGUGAGGAAUAUUGGUCAAUGGACGGAAGUCUGAACCAGCCAAGUAGCGUGCAGGAUGACGGCCCUAUGGGUUGUAAACUGCUUUUGUUGGGGAAUAAAAUGAGGGACGUGUCCCUUUUUGCAUGUACCCUUCGAAUAAGGACCGGCUAAUUCCGUGCCAGCAGCCGCGGUAAUACGGAAGGUCCGGGCGUUAUCCGGAUUUAUUGGGUUUAAAGGGAGCGUAGGCCGCCUGGUAAGCGUGUUGUGAAAUGUAGUCGCUCAACGUCUGCACUGCAGCGCGAACUGUCGGGCUUGAGUACGCUGGAAGUUGGCGGAAUUCGUCGUGUAGCGGUGAAAUGCUUAGAUAUGACGAAGAACUCCGAUUGCGAAGGCAGCUGACUGUCGCGUUACUGACGCUGAAGCUCGAAAGUGCGGGUAUCGAACAGGAUUAGAUACCCUGGUA